GCUCAGGAUGAACGCGGGCGGCGUGCCUAAUACAUGCAAGUCGAGCGAACAGACGAGGAGCUUGCUCCUCUGACGUAGCGGCGGACGGGUGAGUAACACGUGGAUAACCUACCUAUAAGACUGGGAUAACUUCGGGAAACCGGAGCUAAUACCGGAUAAUAUAUUGAACCGCAUGGUUCAAUAGUGAAAGACGGUUUUGCUGUCACUUAUAGAUGGAUCCGCGCCGCAUUAGCUAGUUGGUAAGGUAACGGCUUACCAAGGCAACGAUGCGUAGCCGACCUGAGAGGGUGAUCGGCCACACUGGAACUGAGACACGGUCCAGACUCCUACGGGAGGCAGCAGUAGGGAAUCUUCCGCAAUGGGCGAAAGCCUGACGGAGCAACGCCGCGUGAGUGAUGAAGGUCUUCGGAUCGUAAAACUCUGUUAUUAGGGAAGAACAAAUGUGUAAGUAACUAUGCACGUCUUGACGGUACCUAAUCAGAAAGCCACGGCUAACUACGUGCCAGCAGCCGCGGUAAUACGUAGGUGGCAAGCGUUAUCCGGAAUUAUUGGGCGUAAAGCGCGCGUAGGCGGUUUUUUAAGUCUGAUGUGAAAGCCCACGGCUCAACCGUGGAGGGUCAUUGGAAACUGGAAAACUUGAGUGCAGAAGAGGAAAGUGGAAUUCCAUGUGUAGCGGUGAAAUGCGCAGAGAUAUGGAGGAACACCAGUGGCGAAGGCGACUUUCUGGUCUGUAACUGACGCUGAUGUGCGAAAGCGUGGGGAUCAAACAGGAUUAGAUACCCUGGUAGUCCACGCCGUAAACGAUGAGUGCUAAGUGUUAGGGGGUUUCCGCCCCUUAGUGCUGCAGCUAACGCAUUAAGCACUCCGCCUGGAGACGCGAGUUGG
rnacentral:rRNA from 2 species